GAGACCAGGCAACUGCAUGUCUCAAGAACCACCUCACGGUACACUGUCCUCUGGGCCAGGUCCACAUGUCCCCACUUCACCCAUGUGAAGGUCACAGCCACGUCCUUGAAGCUCAGGGUUGGCUGAAACAUCACUGGUAUUACCAUGGAGCCCUGCUUUCUUGAUGAAAGUUGGGAAUAGGACAGCACAGGGGAGGGAGAACUCCUUGCUCAGAUCAGACUCGGACCCAGGUCCAAGGUGUUUUCAUUUUUCUCUGGGUAUCUCCUCUGCUGCUAGUUGCAUCGGUGAUCCUGAUUUUCUGCUUUGGGAACAACGGGGACCCCUCUUGGAGAUCUUCACCCCCAUCUUCUGUACAAUAUCAGAUUGGAAACCAGCCAAAGAGGAUGCUCUAAAUCAAGGGUCAGCACAGCCAUGAGACAAAUCAGGGAUGUGGUGUGUUUCUAGGAAGCUAAUGCCAUGAGCUCAAUUGCUUCCUCAUGAAACCACAUGUGAGCCAUCUAAGGGUGCCUUUGGCGCUUUACAGGCACACUCUCAGCUGCCCUCCUGAGUGGUCUGCAGUAAGGGUCAAUGGGCCAGAGUGGCUGCCUGUUUCUGUAGGCUCAGCUCUACUCGCCCUCAAGGGUCCACUGAGCAAACACCAUGAAGAAGUCUGAAGAGACCUGGCUCAGAGACCCAGGUUUGGGGAAUGCCUGGCUCAUUCAUGUGGGAGCCCGUGCACUUCACCCCAAGGCACAGGGCAGCAUUGCAAGAACUCUAAUGUGUGCUGACCUGAGGAUGUGGGUGUUAUUCCUGGAUGCAUUCUACAGCCAUGGAGACUAAGGCAAUGAGAACAAAGGUCUCCAACUCACCUGCGAUGGGAUCUGCUGAAAAUAUGCCUCCAUUUCCUCCUCAUAUCUGGUGAUGCUGUUGUGAAGAAGGCAGAGGUCCUCAGAAAGCAGGGCUGGGGUUGGGGGACAAUUAGGGGUUUAGCCCCUACCUCAGUGCCUCCAAACUCCCAAGUCCACCCCCAUGCCCAAAGGCGAGAGCAACCAGUGCCAGCUGAAGACUAUACCCUGGGGAGUGAAGGGUAGGGAGGCGGGGCUCUGACCACAUGAUCUCCCUGUUCAAGGCUCUGAGGUCAGCCAAGGCGGCUAAACUCUCUCACUGAAGAGGCCAGUCUGCCUAGCUCUGGGCCUGGGCUGUCAUAGGCUCAAGGUAAAUGUCUUGAGGCAUGUGCUGGGGUGUCUGAACCAUGAACCCAAAGACACACAACAGUACCUCAACAGUCAAAUAAAGGAGGGCCAGUUUUUCCUGUCAUCUCAAGAUACUAAAUAGAGAGAAAUGGAGGCAGUGUCAAAACAAUUGAUUGUACAAUUAAAAAAUCUCAGUGAAACAUCAGCGGUUUCUAAAAAUCGAGGUGGGGAAGGGACAAGGAGCAUGUGAGAACUCCUUGCUCAGAUCAGACUCGGACCCAGGUCCAAGGUGUUUUCAUUUUCUCUGGGUAUCUCCUCUGCUGCUAGUUGCAUCGGUGAUCCUGAUUUUCUGCUUUGGGAACAACGGGGACCCCUCUUGGAGAUCUUCACCCCCAUCUUCUGUACAAUAUCAGAUUGGAAACCAGCCAAAGAGGAUGCUCUAAAUCAAGGGUCAGCACAGCCAUGAGACAAAUCAGGGAUGUGGUGUGUUUCUAGGAAGCUAAUGCCAUGAGCUCAAUUGCUUCCUCAUGAAACCACAUGUGAGCCAUCUAAGGGUGCCUUUGGCGCUUUACAGGCACACUCUCAGCUGCCCUCCUGAGUGGUCUGCAGUAAGGGUCAAUGGGCCAGAGUGGCUGCCUGUUUCUGUAGGCUCAGCUCUACUCGCCUCAAGGGUCCACUGAGCAAACACCAUGAAGAAGUCUGAAGAGACCUGGCUCAGAGACCCAGGUUUGGGGAAUGCCUGGCUCAUUCAUGUGGGAGCCCGUGCACUUCACCCCAAGGCACAGGGCAGCAUUGCAAGAACUCUAAUGUGUGCUGACCUGAGGAUGUGGGUGUUAUUCCUGGAUGCAUUCUACAGCCAUGGAGACUAAGGCAAUGAGAACAAAGGUCUCCAACUCACCUGCGAUGGGAUCUGCUGAAAAUAUGCCUCCAUUUCCUCCUCAUAUCUGGUGAUGCUGUUGUGAAGAAGGCAGAGGUCCUCAGAAAGCAGGGCUGGGGUUGGGGGGACAAUUAGGGGUUUAGCCCCUACCUCAGUGCCUCCAAACUCCCAAGUCCACCCCCAUGCCCAAAGGCGAGAGCAACCAGUGCCAGCUGAAGACUAUACCCUGGGGAGUGAAGGGUAGGGAGGCGGGGCUCUGACCACAUGAUCUCCCUGUUCAAGGCUCUGAGGUCAGCCAAGGCGGCUAAACUCUCUCACUGAAGAGGGCCAGUCUGCCUAGCUCUGGGCCUGGGCUGUCAUAGGCUCAAGGUAAAUGUCUUGAGGCAUGUGCUGGGGUGUCUGAACCAUGAACCCAAAGACACACAACAGUACCUCAACAGUCAAAUAAAGGAGGGGCCAGUUUUUCCUGUCAUCUCAAGAUACUAAAUAGAGAGAAAUGGAGGCAGUGUCAAAACAAUUGAU
ensembl:lncRNA